GAUGAACGCUGGCGGCGUGCCUAAUACAUGCAAGUCGAGCGAACGGACGCGAAGCUUGCUUCUCUGAUGUUAGCGGCGGACGGGUGAGUAACACGUGUAUAACCUACCUAUCAGUCUGGGAUAACUUCGGGAAACCGGCGCUAAUCCCGGAUAAUAUUUUGAACCGCAUGGUUCAAAAGUGAAAGACGGCCUUGCUGUCACUUAUAGAUGGAUCCGCGCUGCAUUAGCUAGUUGUUAAGGUCACGGCUUACCAAGGCAACGAUGCAUAGCCGAACUGAGAGGGUGAUCGGCCGCACUGGAAGUGAGACACGGACCAGGCUCCUACGGGAGGCAGCAGAAGGGAAUGUUCCGCAAUGGGCGAAAGCCUGACGGAGCAACGCCGCGUGAGUGAUGAAGGUCUCCGGAUCGUAAAACUCUGUUAUUAGGGAAGAACAUAUGUGUAAGUAACUGUGCACAUCUUGACGGUACCUAAUCAGAAAGCCACGGCUAACUACGUG
rnacentral:rRNA from 1 species